GUAGGGAAUAUUGGGCAAUGGAUGAAAGUCUGACCCAGCCAUGCCGCGUGCCGGAUGAAGGCGCUCAGCGUUGUAAACGGCUUUUAUUCGGGAAGAAGAGCAGGGAUGCGUCCCUGUGUGACGGUACCGAAUGAAUAAGCACCGGCUAACUCCGUGCCAGCAGCCGCGGUAAUACGGAGGGUGCGAGCGUUGUCCGGAUUUAUUGGGUUUAAAGGGUGCGUAGGUGGCCAAAUAAGUCAGUGGUGAAAUACGGUUGCUCAACAAUCGAGGUGCCAUUGAUACUGCUUGGCUUGAAAUAAUUGGAGGCUGCCGGAAUGGAUGGUGUAGCGGUGAAAUGCAUAGAUAUCAUCCAGAACACCGAUUGCGAAGGCAGGUGGCUACGAUUUAUUUGACACUGAGGCACGAAAGCAUGGGGAGCAAACAGGAUUAGAAACCCGGGUAGUCC
rnacentral:rRNA from 1 species